UCCGGGGAUGAUGGGAUUCUUCUAUGUAGGGAUUAUGGUGGAUACCACACAAUUGUACACUUUCAUGAGAACUCUGCACAAAGAAUGGUGAGUUUUACUGUAUGUAAAAUUAUACCUUAAUUAACAAAUGAAACAAUAUACACAUACAUGAGAGAAUGAUGACUUUACUUUUUUUGAAACAGGAUCUAGCUCUGUCAACCAUGCUGGAGUGCAGUGGUGCGAUCGCAGCUCACUGCAGCCUUGACCUCCCAGGCUCCAGUGAUCCUCCUGCCUCAGCCUCCGAAGUAUCUGGGACUACAGGUGUGCACCACCAUGCCUGGCUAAUUUUUUUAAAUUUUUUUUUAGACAGAAUCUGGCUGUGUCACCCAUGCUGGAGUGCAGUGGUGUGAUUUCCGCUCACUGCAACCUCUGCCUCCCGGGUUCAAGUGAUUCUCCAGCCUCAGCCUCCCAAGUAGCUGGGAUUACAGGCACCCACCACCAUGACUGGCUGGCUAAUUUUUGUAUUUUUAGUAGAGACAGGGUUUCACCAUGUUGGCCAGGCUGCUGUCGAACUCCUGACCUCACGUGAUCUGCCCGCCUUGGACUCCCAGAGUGCUGGAAUUACAGGCAUGAGCCACUGCACUCGGCCUCUUUUUUUUUUUUUUUUCUGUUGACACAGGGUCUUGCUGUGUUCCCCAGGCUGGUCUUGAACUCCUAGGCUCAAGUGAGCCUCCCACCUUGGCCUCCCAAAGUGCUGGGGUUACAGGCAUGAACCACUGCACCCGGCCUGAAUGUUGUUUUUGGCAAUGAAAAUGAAACACAAAAUCCAGCAAGGUUUGACGGUGAAGGCGAGCUGGUGACCACAUAGUCACAUUCAGCCUUAGGUUCCGCUUUUUGCUGCAGUUUCUCACUGUCACUUCCUGCCACUGGGCUCCUCUUCCUGUGAAAACUCAGCCUCUCUUCCUCAUUUACCCCUUUGCAACAGAACGAGGCCGGCAUUUUCUAAAGCGUCCUUGAGGAGUCCAGUUCCUAAAAGAUUAUUUCAAAGUCCACUGUUGUGGGCUGACUUGAGUGCUCUCAAAAUUUGUAAGUUGAAGCCCUGACCCCGAGGACCUCGGAACGUGACUGUGGUUGGACACAGGGACUUUCCGGAGGUGAUUAAGGUUAAGUGGGGUCACUGGAUGGCUCUACUCCUAUCUGACUGGUGUCCUGAUGGGGACACGGACACCCGCACAGGAACGGACCCGGGGAGAACACCACAUUAUCUCCGCGCCAAGGAGAGAGGCGUCGGGGGAACCCAGCCCUGCCCAAGCAUUUAUCUCCACCUUCUGGCUCAGACUUGUGAGGAAACCCGCUUCUGUUGUGCAGUCCCUGGUCUGUGGAGCUUGGCCAUGGCGCCCCCAGAACUGCAUCCCCACCUUCUGCUCUGAGCCACCCGUCCCCUCCGGAAGGGCUGAGCUUCUCUCCCUUUCACUGCCUGUGCUCUGGGAAACUUUCAGAAUCCCCAGGCUGUUUCUGGAAUAGUCUGGGGUGGUCAUUCUUGGUCCUCACGGAACUGGGGGUUUGGAAAGUGAGUGAAGCCACAUGGGUUGCAAAGAAUCUGGCCCAGCCCCUCACUAGUCCCUGUGCUUGUUAUUUAUUCUUUAAUUCCUUGGAUAUCAACUCUGAUUUAAAACAUCAAUUUAACAUACAGAUAAUGCUGGGACUGCAGCUUUGCCAGGUGGCCUUCCCCUCCCGGUCUUGGGAGGCCUCACGCCCAUCUUGUCCCCCCAAGGUCAAGCGAAAAGGGCAAAGUUAUCCUUUUUUUUUUUUUUUCAAAAUUCAAACCUUUCCCUCCUUCCCAGGUCUGGGGUCACUUGCGACCCUCCUCUCAGGCUGCUUCUGACAGGCCCAAGUCACAGCCAACUUCAGGGGAGCCGUGUUGGAUCCCUCCAAACUCCUGGAAUGAUGUGACCUCUCCGCCGCUCGCCCUGGGCCUCCAGGUGAGACUCAGCCCAGACCCUGGCUCACAGGGAAGCAGAGCCCAGGGCUGGCCUCCACCCGCUCAGACGCCCGCACACAGGCCAGGGGAGGGCUUGGGGGCAGCUCUGGGAGGGUCCCUGUUUGCGCUGUGGGUGUCCAAGGCUGGGUGUGCAGAGCUGAGGUUUCCGCACACCUGAGGGACUCUCGCGUGAGGACAGCGCAGGGCUGGAAGCUGGUCUGCGAAGGUGAACGAGACAGCGCUGCUGGCUCCCUCCGUGCCGCGGACUGGCUCCUAUGCAGUCUCAUGAGCAAGUGUGCUGUCGCUCGUGCACGUGUGUUUUAACUGAGAUGUGAGCUGGCAUGUUUUCUCCACCCAGCUCCAUCUGCUGGGUCCCUCCACAUUGCUGCAGGUGUGGCUCCAGUGCCAUGGGGUCCCCCACUGUGGGCAGCCCCUGCAUUUUGUCCGUCUGCUUCCCCAAACAUGGAACCCCAGUGACCUCCAACUUGCCGCCAUGACGAGCCACUCUCAUUCAUAUCCUCAGACAUGGCGCUCUGAGCCCAAAUGAGGGUUUCUUUAGAGAGAUAUCUGGGGAGCGAACUGUAGGGACAGAGCUCCUGUCUAAGGUGGGCCUGUGGUGAGGUCUGCCCGGUGCUACACUUCCAUCCCACAGCAGGGCUUGCAGGCCGCCCUUCUCCAUCUCCACCAACACUGGGCAGGAUCUAGACUCCAAACCUUUGCCAGUCUAAUAGUACAAAAUGAUAGCUUGGUGCUAUUUUGGUUUUGCAUUUCCAUGGUGAACAAUGAGUUUGAGAGUUUUUGUUCAAAAGUCCUUUGGGAGUUCGAGACCAGACCGGGCCACCAGGAGUUCAAGACCAGCCUGGGCAACUCAGUGAGAUGUUCAUCUCUACAAAAAAUAAGAAAGAUAAAAAAUUAGCCAGGCAUGGUGGUGUGUGCCUGUGGUCCCAGCUCCUCAGGAGGCUGAGGUGGGAGGAUGGCUUGCCCCCAGGAGGUGGAGGCUGCAGUGAGUUGUGAUCGUGUCAGUGUACGCCAGCCUGGGCAACAGAGUGAGACCCUGUUUCUAAAAUAAAAAUAAAAAACAAAAAAGUCCUUUGGGUUUCCUCUCGGUAUUACUCAGCACAGGACAAGGUGUCAGUUUCCAUCCUCCAGCAAGCAGAUGCUGAGAUGAAGCUCGGUGGGAGGUGACACCCAAGAGGAACGGGCGGGGUUGGACAGGGACAGCCUUCAGAUCACAGUGUGGAUCGGACCCCUGGGAGGGGAGAGAGGGAGGAAGAGAACUGGUUGGCUGUGAAGCGGAUCUGAUAGGGCCCUGCUGCCACACCAACAGCAGCUUGGGGCCAAGGACGCUGUUGCAGGAGCAAGGGACAGACCCCCAUACCACUGGCUCAGUGCCUGCAGCACGUGGCCUCUGUGGCUGCAGCCCGAGGCUGUCAGCUGAGGCACUCCACGCACCUGGAGAGCACGUUCUCUGUGGAAGGAGACUGCAGCAUUCCCACCACUCCAAAGCAGUAGUAGCGGCACCUGGAGAAAGAAGAAGUCCACCACCUUCUUGAUGGCGGACUCUUUCUGCAGGCUCGCUGCAGUAACAGACUGGGAGCUCUGGACCUGGUGUAUUGCUAGCUCAGUCUGACGGGGUCCCAGCUUUCCCCUGAGGUUCUCCUCCCAAGAGUGCCGAGAUUGAUGCUGUCCCAUCCAGCGUCUCCGCAGUCAUCAGCUCUUCACAUCCCUGGGUGAAGAUGGGGAGGCAGUGUGCGGAGCUUACUCCCAAUUGACUUGGAACGGAAGCCAGGACAGAGAACUCUACAAGGGACAUUGGUGCACUGAAGAGCAGGGUGUGGUUCUGACCAGAAGCAUCUGUGCUUCUGGAGGGCAGAGGGCUGAGCAUGGGCAUGGGGGUCUGGGCAGGCCUCCCAGGGCGGAGGUCAAGAGGAGGGCGGGAGGCCUCUAGCUUGGUGGUUAAGAGCUCAGCCUUCAGAGUUUGUUUUCUCAGCUCUAUCUUUGACGAGCUUCGUGAGCCAUAACUGGCCAGGGGCUGCCCCCAGAAAAGCUGGCCUCCAGCUCCCUGCAUCCUGAGGCCCCAGAUCAAGUUUCUUGGGCCCCGAUUUCCUGUCAUUAAAGAGAUGAGAGUACAUUCCUCAGAAGUGGGCUGUGAAUACAUGAAACUCAAAGUUUUGGGCACCCAGCACGCGCUCAGGAAGCGUGGCUUGUGAUUACCCGGCAGUGUGGUGCGAGGCCCCUAGCAGCCCCGUGUGCUAGUCUCACUGUCGCCCAGGAUGCAGUGGCACGAUCUUGGCUCACUGCAACCUCCACCUCCCGGGUUCAAGCAAUUCUCUUGCCUCAGGCUCCCCAGUAGCUGGGAUUACAGGUGUGUGCCACCAUACCCAGCUAAUUUUUGUAUUUUUAGUAGAGACCCAGUUUCGCCAUAUUGGUCAGGCUGGUCUUGAACUCCUGACCUCAGGUGACCCUCCUGCCUCGGUCUCCUGAAGUGCUGGGAUUACAGGCGUGCGCCACGGCAUGUGGCCUUUUUGUGUGCUUCUGACAGUGGCACUGGCCUGGCCCAGCAGCCUUCCUUUCUGGUGUCCUCCCUAAAGCAAUACUCAUCAUUUCCGGCCACCUGAGGUGGCCGUGAACUGCAGCCCAAGCCUGCCUGGUGCAGCUCUGACAAGCAAGCCCUUCUGAGGAACAAGAGCCUGGGGGUCAGGUGACUACCAAGCCCCAUUUCCUUUCCCAACAGGCAAGUGACCAGCUCUCCUUGUACGGGAUGUCCUCUAGGGCCACAGGAUAUGCCCUUUGAGCUGCUCAUCCAUUUUUGUCCUCUGUUCUACCUGACACGCCCACAUUUGUCCCAGCCAGGCCUUUCUUUGUUCUGGAAUAGCUGGGAACGCAGCUGGAAGGACUGGGAGCCAGCUUCCACUGAGUGGCUUCUAGCUGCCUGUAGGCGGUGUGGCUCAUGUGCACACAGCUGCUGCGGUCUUUCCCUCCCCGCAUGGCGCCCCUGGAUGGUCACGAGGUCAGCCAUGCUCCCAACAAUGCAACACACCAAGGGAGGGGUUAGAGAGAGAGCUGGAGUGUGCCUCGGAGGCUUCUUAGAACAAAGAAAGAGGAGCUGGCCAGGACUGUUCCCUGUAAUCUCCUGGGGACAAUUUUCAGGCUAACGAGGAGUGACCGUACGCACUGAAUGACCUCGAGAUCGUUGAAACAUCUGAAGGGUUUAGGUGUGGGUGCUGCAGACCCCAUGCCAUGGGCUCCCGGGUCAGCCGUGCUGCAGGACAGAGCCAGGCAGGGCUGGAAGGAGGGCUGCCAGGACCACAGCAUCGCCCUGGCUCGGAGUAUCUCCAAUUCAAAGAGCACGCUUCCCCUUCCAGAGGCUACUGGGGCUUCGUCUGAAGAGUGGCUGCUUCUCCAACUUGGCUGCCUAAGACAUUUACUCAAGUGACAGCAGUUGGUGGCUGAGCCAAGAUAUCAUGGAGGACUAAAAAAAAGCACAAACUUAAAAAAAACCAUGUAUUCUUAAACCAUCUUGCACACACCCAGGCACAAGCUAGAUGCAUAAUACCGUGCACCUACACUAUCCACCUGAAAAAUACAGUAAAAUGACUUAAGAAACACA